GUUCCAGCUUUCUUCAUCUCCAUCACUAAAGAAGUAUCUUUCAUCCUUCCUGAGGAUUUGAUAUUGGUUGGUGUUAACUAAAUGGGAGAGUUAAGAUUCCCAUCUGGAGCUGGCUGUGUUGAAGAUUAAUAUUUAUGGGACCAGUGCAAAUAACUCUCCACUUCAGUCACUUAAAAAGGGACAAAGGGCAGUCCCCAUCUGAAUGCUGUAAUACAUUUCUCUAAUUCCACAAAAGUCCCCUAAGCCAAUGGUA